GUGGCUCCUGAGUCCGGAAAUGUUUUUUUGUUCCUUUUUAUUUUUUCUUCUCCUUUUGCACUUCUUGAUGGCUCUGUGAGUGUGCAGGGUGGGAGGACAGACCCUGUCACGCUGCUGCCACUCGUGUUGCUUUCAUGGUGCUCACCACUUCUUCGUGUCACCCUAUGGAUCAAAAGAAAAACAACGAUACGAUUCCAGAAGAGCUAGUGUACUGCAGUAUGCUUCCAGGGUAAAGAUCUGUGCCAUACCUGCAGUUCUGAGUUGUUUGUAUAGUCAUUAGUUACGCAACUUCUUUCUUUGUGAUAAUGAACAAUUAUGAUUUGGUGUAACUAACCACUUCAGGUAAGAGUUACCCUGCUUUCGCUUGUGGUUUAACAUAUUCUACGUGAUGAAGGAUCUAUC